rnacentral:lncRNA from 1 species
AUGUUGCUGUUACCUGUAAGAUCUUUAUUGUGGAAAAUGUUUUCCCCAGAUGAUCUUUCAGGUUUCAGAGGCAUGGACACAGAGCUGAAAGUGAGUGGCAGAGGUCAUAUCCCGGCAUCGGAUUCCUUGCCAGAGGGAAAAAAUGCCAUCCUCGAAGGCAGCUAUAGAAUCAUCAUCAUAUGGAAUUCUAGAUACAGGCCUGCAAAGAUGUCUAUACUUGUAUUCAAAGAUCUAGUAUUCCUCUUCCAUGGACCCUCAGAAGUAAGCCUAACCACUGUUUCCGGGCACACGCAUGUGUAAUUUCAUCUCACUUUGCUAGCUCAAAUCCCCACUGAGGAAGAAAGCCUCAAGUUCUAGUCGUGAACACCACCAACUUGCUGUGUUUUCCAGAGCGGAUCACCUUGUUUGUGUCCAUUUCUUUAUCUGGAGAAAUAGAGAGGCAUGACAGUUAUCUGCCUCCAAGCAUAGAUUUGUUUGCUUUUGUAAAGCACUUAUCAGUUGGAGUUUACAAUUCCACCAUAUUGGUCAAACCAGAUCCGAACAGCUACCUAACCAACUAUUUUCAUCUUGAUCUGCUCAUUUUGGCCAUCUAAAGCAGCACAAUCAAUUGGACCAACCAUUCUGAGAUACAAAUUGUCUGGUAAGAAAGCCAAAACACCAGAUUGGCUGCUUUUUUUAAUUGGUGUUUUUCACGAUAUGAAAAUAUUGGGUAAAAAUGGAAAAACUGAGUCAAAGAUCCAGAUGUUUGAUCUUCCCGUUGCCAAAUAGCCACACAUUUUGUAGCAUUCAUAUUUGCGGCUGAAUUUCUCAGCUUUCACCAGAAAGCCUGUCAUCAUAUAGAUAGAGCCUCAGAGGAGCUGUAAACACAAAACUGAUAUGGUCCCAAGAAAAAAGAAUCGCUUUUACCCAAGAUAACAGUUGCUUGUGUAUCUGCUGUUUUUUCUUAUUAGGCAGCUUCCUGGAAAGGAAGGGACAAGGGCCAUUGUUCAAAAUCCUAUAGUGUUCCCAGGUUUAUCUAGGCCUAAGUCUGCCUAGA